rnacentral:lncRNA from 1 species
CAUGUGACAGUCAGUGUGGUAGUUAGCUAUCAACCAGUAUUCCUGGACAACUUUCCCAUAAGAAACAUUGAUGAAGGAAUUGAACAACACUGUAUAUGUAGUGACUGUUGUCAUAUUAUUGCACACUGGAUGGAACUUAAAACCUCCAGAGUAGUGACCAGGACUGACAUUGUCAGGUGGGGUGGAGUAGAUAUGAAUUCAGAAGAAAAGUAGAAAAUCAGUAGAUGUUAAGAAAAAGAUUAUCUGUAUGCAUGAUGGGCCAGAGUUUGAACUUUAUUGAAAGUAAUUGCCUGUGUAGACCAGUCCCCUCAGUGCCACAGCAAGGCGCAAGUUUGAAGACAGGAAAUGCAACAUAGGAUAAAACCAGGACGUACUUUGUGAUGGUGCAUGCAUUUGUCUUGUGUCCGGAGCAUAACUUCAUAACCAUUCGAGCUAUUGACUUCAAAUUUGGCAUAUAGGUUGAGAUGUACAUCAAAAAAGAAAGAAAAAAAUCUGCAGCAUUUCAAUGGAUGUAAUGGAUGUAGCUGGUGAGGGGAUAAAUUAACCACUAUGCAGCUUUACAUAAUAUAUAAAGAAAAUGGUAUUACUUGCUGUUAUCUGUAUUCUGGACAAUUGAUGUUUCAUGGUCAGUCAGAUCUGAGAGGCACCAGUGUCAGAACAGUGGUUUAUGGGAUGCUAAAUCUCUGCUAAUGGUCCCUUAUCACAGACAAGGGGCUGGGUCACUGCAGGGGUUAAUGGGAAAUGGAAAUAAUAUCAGACUGACAUUGGACAUGAUUGUGGGAGUGUUGUGAGUAGUUUUUACUUCAAUUCUGAUAAAGGUAAGUUGAUUUGAAAAUUUAAUCAAUUUAUAUGUUUUUUUAGAAAUAUAUAACUUCAUUUGAGAUAUCAGUUUCAGUUAAUGUUAAACAAAGUUCAUGAGUAACAGUCAUGUACAGUUCAUGAACCUAAAUUAAUGAACAGUUUUUGAACAUUACAUGUAUAUUUAUAAAUAUUUGAUGGAUGUUAUCAUUUUCAUAUUUGAUGUAUGUUAACCUAAGUUCUGCAUGUUUGAUCAACCGGAAGUGAUGGCGUAACGUCAUUUAUCUGGAAAACGUAGAGUAAAGGCUGGAUUC